GCUCUGGUUUCAUUUCGCACCAACAGCUUCAGUAACCGACAUCGGUGCAGGUGCUUCCAUUUACCUGUCAGGAAAGGCGGAGGAAAAAGAAGAGGACGAACAGCAGCCGGAGGGAUGGACGUCACAGGGACAGUGGACGCAUCUCUACGCUGCUGAAUCCCUCCCACACCACC